UGGGGAAUUUUGCACAAUGGGGGAAACCCUGAUGCAGCGACGCCGCGUGAUUUAGAAGGCCUUCGGGUUGUAAAAAUCUUUUCUAUGGGAAGAAAAUGACAGUACCAUAGGAAUAAGGACCGGCUAAUUACGUGCCAGCAGCCGCGGUAAUACGUAAGGUCCGAGCGUUGUCCGGAAUCAUUGGGCGUAAAGGGUACGUAGGCGGGUAAGCAAGUUAGAAGUGAAAUCCUAUAGCUCAACUAUAGUAAGCUUUUAAAACUGCUGAUCUUGAGGUAUGGAAGGGAAAGGGGAAUUCCUAGUGUAGCGGUGAAAAGCGCAGAUAUUAGGAGGAAUACCGGUGGCGAAGGCGACUUUCUGGCCAUAACCUGACGCUGAGGUACGAAAGCGUGGGUAGCAAACAGG
rnacentral:rRNA from 1 species